GGGGCUGUUGCUCAGGGGCGGAGCAUCUGCUUGGGCUGCAGAAGGCCCCAGGUUCGAUCCCAGGAAUCUCCA
rnacentral:tRNA from 1 species